AUUGAACGCUGGCGGCAUGCUUUACACAUGCAAGUCGAACGGUAACAGGCCGCAAGGUGCUGACGAGUGGCGAACGGGUGAGUAAUGCAUCGGAACGUGCCCAGUCGUGGUGGAUAACUACUCGAAAGAGUAGCUAAUACCUCAUACGAUCUAUUGAUGAUAGCGGGGGACCGUAAUGCCUAGCGCGAUUGGAGCUGCCGAUGUCAGAUUAGGUAGUUGGUGGGGUAAAGGCUCACCAAGCCAACGAUUUGUAGCUGGUCUGAGAGGACGACCAGCCACACUGGGACUGAGACACGGCCCAGACUCCUACGGGAGGCAGCAGUGGGGAAUUUUGGACAAAGGGCGCAAGCCUGAUCCAGCAAUGCCGCGUGCAGGAAGAAGGCCUUCGGGUUGUAAACUGCUUUUGUACGGAACGAAACGGCUCUGGUUAAUACCCGGGGCUAAUGACGGUACCGUAAGAAUAAGCACCGGCUAACUACGUG
rnacentral:rRNA from 1 species